GGCGACAUAGCCAAGCGGUAAGGCAGGGGUCUGCAAAAUCCCGAUCUCCAGUUCAAAUCUGGAUGUCGCCUCCA
rnacentral:tRNA from 1 species